GUUCAGAGGUGUGCUCUUACGAACUGGAUGGCUCCAGUUAACUAGAACUAGUUGUGAAUGGUUUUGUUUUCCUGUAAGUCUUCCUGUGGAUGUGUGGGCUAGCCCAUAAAGUAUGGAGACUGGGGUCUCACAGGGACAUGUGACCAUGUCACCAGAUACUGGAAUCCAUCUUAAACCAGGCACUUUUCCAUAAGGAACUGGGAG